GCCCCGGGCGUUGGCGCGUUCGGUGGUUGAGUGCCUAAGUGUCACGGCCGGCCACUGGUCCAACUUGAAAUAAUCGGUCAUUAGUGGGGGGGGGGGUAGGGGGUUAAGCCGAUCAGCAGGGAAAACCGGGGGAUACUAAGCCGAUCAGCGGGGCAGUGUAAUCGAGGCGCAAGCCGCGGUUCGGAGUGGUGGUUGAUGCAACUACGGUGGUAGAUAGGCAGCACGGUGGCAGCGUCGGUUGGGGCCAGACCCGGUGGCAUCGCUGCUGUGGUCCGUUUAGCGUUAACAUAGUGUAACAAUGAGGACAAGAAGCCUAAGCCACCCACCUAUAGCUCUCCUAAACCUCUCCAUAACAUUCACCUCCAUCAUGAGAUGUGGGUUGAAGCCCAACCAUCCUGAUAACAUAUCCAUGCAAGCGCAGCGCCAUCCAUGUAUAGCCCCAGCUGCACUGAUAAAAAUUUUACGUUAUGAAACAUGGAAGGGGUGCAAUGCCGCGACGAGGGUUUUAUUGGAGGUGUACAUGCAUGCUAUUUUCUUAUAAAUUUAAGAAGCGUCCCCAAGCGUCUUUAAGCGGGAGUCACAGCCACAUACUUGUUACAGCUGUCGCGCCACAGCACCGAACCCAACCUAAUCCGGCCGCAAAUGCCUAAAUGCCCAUUUCAUCAGCUCAAAGCUAUGGGGGAAGGUCGUUAGUUGUGGUGGAUAACGGCCAGCGAUUUUUCCAAAAGUAAGCCAAGCUGACCUGUAGGGAGCUGUCGUCA
rnacentral:lncRNA from 1 species